GAUGAACGCUGGCGGCGUGCUUAACACAUGCAAGUCGAACGAUGAAGCCCAGCUUGCUGGGUGGGUUAGUGGCGAACGGGUGAGUAACACGUGAGUAACCUGCCCUUAACUCUGGGAUAAGCCUGGGAAACUGGGUCUAAUACCGGAUAGGAGCGUCCACCGCAUGGGGGGUGUUGGAGAGAUUUAUCGGUUUUGGAUGGACUCGCGGCCUAUCAGCUUGUUGGUGAGGUAAUGGCUCACCAAGGCGACGACGGGUAGCCGGCCUGAGAGGGUGACCGGCCACACUGGGACUGAGACACGGCCCAGACUCCUACGGGAGGCAGCAGUGGGGAAUAUUGCACAAUGGGCGGAAGCCUGAUGCAGCGACGCCGCGUGAGGGAUGACGGCCUUCGGGUUGUAAACCUCUUUCAGUAGGGAAGAAGCGAAAGUGACGGUACCUGCAGAAGAAGCACCGGCUAACUACGUG
rnacentral:rRNA from 1 species